rnacentral:rRNA from 1 species
AUUGAACGCUGGCGGCAGGCCUAACACAUGCAAGUCGAACGGUAGCACAGAGAGCUUGCUCUCGGGUGACGAGUGGCGGACGGGUGAGUAACGUCUGGGAAACUGCCCGAUGGAGGGGGAUAACUACUGGAAACGGUAGCUAAUACCGCAUAGUGUCGCAAGACCAAAGAGGGGGACCUUCGGGCCUCUUGCCAUCGGAUGUGCCCAGAUGGGAUUAGCUUGUUGGUGAGGUAAAGGCUCACCAAGGCGACGAUCCCUAGCUGGUCUGAGAGGAUGACCAGCCACACUGGAACUGAGACACGGUCCAGACUCCUACGGGAGGCAGCAGUGGGGAAUAUUGCACAAUGGGCGCAAGCCUGAUGCUGCCAUGCCGCGUGUGUGAAGAAGGCCUUCGGGUUGUAAAGCACUUUCAGCAGGGAGGAAGGCGGUGAGUUUAAUAAGCUCACCGAUUGACGUUACCCGCAGAAGAAGCACCGGCUAACUCCGUGCCAGCAGCCGCAGUAA